ACUGAAUCAACUAAUUGGGACUC
rnacentral:piRNA from 1 species